UGUGGUCGUCAGCAUUUCAACAUUCAAAGCACCAGAAUAUGGCAAUUACAUCUUUCCAGACUGGGCCAAUGUCAUUGGAUGGUGUAUUGCCAUAUCUUCAAUGGCAAUUGUACCCAUUUUUGCCGUGUACAAAUGUAUCAGCCUGCGUGGGACCUUGCGUGAGAGAUUAGCUUGUGCGAUUACACCUGAGAAGGACCAGCAUCUAGUGGAACAUGGAGAACUUCGUCAGCUUACUCUGCGCCAUUGGCUUAUGGUGUGAAAACAUGGAACAAAAGGAAUGGACUUGGAAAACACAGAC